rnacentral:rRNA from 1 species
GAAACUGUGGGUAAUACCGAAUAAUAUCUCCGGAUCAAAGGUGUGAUUCCGCUUGGGGAGGAGACUGCAUACUACUAGCUUGUUGGUGGGGUAAUGGCCUACCAAGGCUUUGAUGGUUAGCGGGCGUGAGAGCGUGGCCCGUCUCACUGGGACUGAAACACUGCCCAGACAUCUACGGAUGGCUGCAGUCGAGAAUCUUCGGCAAUGAGCAAAAGCUUGACCGAGCGAUGCCGCGUGCGGGAUGAAGGCCCUCGGGUUGUAAACCGCUGUCAGUUGGGAGGAAGGACUCGUGAAGAGCGAGUUUUGACCUAUCUUCAGAGGAAGUCCGGGCUAAGUUCGUGCCAGCAGCCGCGGUAACACGAACCGGACAAACGUUAUUCGGAAUUAUUGGGCUUAAAGGGUUUGUAGGCGGUCAUGUAGGUGGGGUGUGAAAUCCCUCGGCUCAACCGAGGAACUGCGCUCCAAACCACAUGACUAGAGGGAGACAGAGGUAAGCGGAACUGAUGGUGGAGCGGUGAAAUGCGUUGAUAUCAUCAGGAACACCAGUGGCGAAAGCGGCUUAC